CAGUCGCCACGGUAAUACGGAGGGUGCAAGCGUUAAUCGGAAUUACUGGGCGUAAAGCGCACGCAGGCGGUCUGUCAAGUCAGAUGUGAAAUCCCCGGGCUUAACCUGGGAACUGCAUUUGAAGCUGGCAGGCUAGAGUCUUGUAGAGGGGGGUAGAAUUCCAGGUGUAGCGGUGAAAUGCGUAGAGAUCUGGAGGAAUACCGGUGGCGAAGGCGGCCCCCUGGACAAAGACUGACGCUCAGGUGCGAAAGCGUGGGGAGCAAACAGGAUUAGAUACCCCUGUAGUCCCUGUCUCUUAUAA
rnacentral:rRNA from 1 species